GUUGAAAGGGUUAAAAAGUAUUUCGUAAUUUAAAAAUAAAAAAAAAACAUAUAUAAUUUCUAGAUGACAUGUUUUUGUCGAUAAAACAUAUGAUAAAGGGAACUAGCUAAAAGAGGAACCAUAUUCUCAUUACACAUAAGAUAACGAAGUUUUUCAAUAUCGCAUAAAUACUCAAAAUCAACAUUUAAAAGACAGGCUUUGGCAUAUAUAAUUCAUGUCUGAUAUCAGAGUAAAAACAACAACUAAAAAGAAAGUGUUUUUCAUCUUCAAUUUGGCAACUAUCACAAAAAAUACAUAAACGGUCUUGUAGAGGUUCUGGUGGUCUAGCAUAUCGACCUGUUUCAACUUUAAGUUGUAACGAACCAGCUCUGAAUAGUGACAAAAUACGUCGGUGGCAUCUAUUAUUAUACCUUUACAUAAGGCUCCGUACCAAUACAAGUUUUAAACAAUCUAUAAAAUCUUAAUUUAUUACCAUUGACAUUAUUUUUAUCAUUCCAUACUUCAUGAUGCCAAGAUUCUUUUUCAAAAGUUUGUAUAGAAUCCCAUACAUUACUCAUAUUAAUUACAUCUUCUACAUUUAUAAUCAAACUAUAUUUACGAGCUAACUGUAAAG
rnacentral:lncRNA from 1 species